ensembl:lncRNA
AUGUCUGCCCAUAUCUCAUCCCCAGCCACAGAGCGGGAGAGAGGCGGUUUUGAGGGAACUCGCCUGGUGAUUUUUCGGGGGACCAGGGGAGGUCGCCGAGGAGGGAGUGGCCGAGAGGAGAUUCAGCAUCGCUCUCAACCAUGGCCCCCCUUUGACCCGGGGCUCCUGGGGAAUGGGUCAGAGCCACCGUCUCACCAUGGCGAGCGGAGAGGUGAGAGGAAGCACACGCCCGCCAUGGUGGCGUCACUGCCCAUGAUGGCCAUCAGCUCAGAGCCUACGCCCAAGAUGGCCGCUGACUCAUUUUUGGAGUAUUUCUCCAGGCUGUCACAGACCCUGGAGGUUCCCAAGACUGGUCACAUCAAAGCUGCUGAGCCAGCACCACAACACAAGAUGGCCGCCAGCCCUGCGCCACAGCACAAGAUGGCCGCCAGCCCUGCGCCACAGCACAAGAUGGCCGCCAGCCCUGCGCCACAGCACAAGAUGGCCGCCAGCCCUGCGCCACAGCGGUGCAUGGCCACCAACCCCGCACCACGAGGCAGGAGGGAGGCCGGCCUCACACCUCAGUACCAGAUGGCCAUCAGCUCAGAGCCUACACCCAAGAUGGCCGCUGACUCAUUUUUGGAGUAUUUCUCCAGCCUGUCACAGACCCUGGAGGUUCCCAAGACUGGUCACAUCAAAGCUGCUGAGCCAGCACCACAACACAAGAUGGCCGCCAGCCCAGCGCCACAGCACAAGAUGGCCGCCAGCCCUGCGCCACAGCACAAGAUGGCCGCCAGCCCUGCGCCACAGCGCAAGAUGGCUGACUCAACGCCUGAGUCUUCCGUCAAGGAGCCACCGACUCGCCAUCAUAGAGGGCGGAGGAGGAGGAGACAGGCGUCUGCCGUUCCUCAAAGCCCGGAGGACGUUCCCGAGCGGGCCGCUGUCGUCCAGGAGGACGUUCCCGAGCGGGCCGCUGCCGUCCAGGAGGACGUUCCCGAGCGGGCCGCUGCCGUCCAGGAGGACGUGCCAGAGGUUCCCGAGGCGGGGCUCGAGGUGGUUCUGGAGGCCGAGGCGGUGCCCGAUGCUGUGCCCGAUGCCGAGGCGGUGCCCGAGGCUGUGCCCGAUGCCGAGGCGGUGCCCGAGCCGGUGCCGGGGGCCGAGGCGGUGCCCGAUGCCGUUCCGGAGGUCGAGGCGGUGCCCGAUGCCGUGGCGGUGCCUGAUGCGGUGGCCGAGGUGGUUCCCGAUGCCGAGGCGGUGCCCGAUGCGGUGCCAGAGACGGUGCCAGAGACGGUUCCCGAUGUAAUGCCCGAGACUGAGGCUGUUCCGGAGGUCGAGGCGAUGGCCGAUGCCGAGACGGUGCCCGAUGCAAUGUCCGAUGCCGAGGCAGUGCCCGAUGCCGAGGCGGUGCCCGUUGCCGAGGCGGUGCCCGAUGCCGAGGCGGUGCCCGAUGCGGUGCCAGAGACGGUGCCAGAGACGGUGCCAGAGACGGUUCCCGAUGUAAUGCCCGAGACUGAGGCUGUUCCGGAGGUCGAGGCGGUGCCCGAUGUUGUUCCCGAUGCCGAGGCGGUGCCCGAUGCAGAGGUCGUUCCCGAGGCGGUGUCCUUGUCCAAGGCCGUUCCCGAGGCCGUUCCUGAGGCGGUGCCCGAUGCUGAGGCCGUUCCCGAGGUGGUGCCCGAUGCCGAGGCCGUUCCCGAGGCGGCGGCGGGCGCCGCUCACGACUCUCCCGAAGUCCCCGAGGCGGCGGACGCCACUCACGACUCUCCCGAGUCUCCCGAAGUCCCCGAGGCGGCGGUGGCCGUUCACGACUCUCCCGAAGUCCCCGAGGCGGCGGACGCCGCUCACGACUCUCCCGAGUCCCCGAGGCGGCGCCGGGUGCCGCUCACGAUUCCCCCGUGGCGGCGGCGGGUGCCGCUCACGAGUCCCCCGAGGCGGCGGCGGGUGCCGCUCACGACUCACAGAGGCGGCAGUGGCCGCUCGGAAAGAGCCAGAGGCGAAGGUGUCCGCUCACGAUCCCGGUUUUGCCCUGGGUUCCCACUCCACCGGCUCUGCCUCAGUCACCUGGUCCCCCUCCAGCACACGGACCUCUCCUCUGGGUGGGGGGCCGCUGGAACGUCUGGAAUCCGUUCCUUAGAGGGGGGUCCUGUCAUGAGUCCGGACCCGGGGUUUCUCCUUCUCACCACCAGAGGGCGCCACUUCCAUUCUCCCGGACUCAUUACCGUCACUCUGCACACCUGGUUUACUCGACACACCUGUUUCACCCACUCACACGCACACACCUGGUGCCUAUUGUCACGGACUAUAUAGUUUUGUCUCACCCACCACUCUGCCUGGCUGUAUUGUUUAUUGUUAAUUGUUAGUCGAAUUCCGAGGUGUAUGCGUGUUAUCUGUUUCCUUUUUGUUUUUGCCCUGUUGGCCUUUUUGUUCUUAUUAAAGUGAUAAUUUCCCUGCAUUUGGACCCAGACCCUGUUUCUUCCACGGCGCUCUUUACCGCGCCGUGACAAUGUUGUUUACAUUAACUUUAAGAAAAGAAAUAAGACUGUUUGAAAAAGGAACUUUGAUUAUUAAAUUAGUUUUUAAAAGAGGUAAAUUAUCAUUUCAAAUUUAAUAUGGGUUUGAAUAGAUUCAGUCAGAUGGCCAGUUUACAACCAGACGGUGCAUCUUACUCAUCGACUCGGGUCAACUUACCCUCACCCUGGGGCAAACUGAGCCAUGGGAACACUUUUUUAUAAGAAGCCAUAUUUUUAGAACCCUUUGUCAUAGAUACAUCCUGAUCAGUGGUGUAAUGUAACGAAGUAAUAAUACUUUGUUACAGUACUUAAAUAUUUUUUGGGAUUGUCUGUACUUUACUUGAGUUUUUAUAUUUCAGGCAACUUUUACAUUUACUCCACUACAUUUCCUAAUUAAAAUGUAUAAUUUUACUUUGAUACAUUUACCCGAAGCAUAUUCGUUACCUGCUACAAAACAGUCAGAAGAACACGGACUGCAGGAAAGCAGGUUUGAUGAAUCAGUGGUCUGGCAUCUGCAAGUUAGAUUCCUAAAAUCUAGCUCUGCUCACGUGCAAACAAGUGCGUGCACAACCGCGAAUAAUUUCAUUUUCCACUCAAGUCGAGUCUGGGGUGUGCGAUAAUAUGGUAAGUGUUGUUGUAAUGAUGUGCGAUCUGACAUUAUCGAGUAUAUCACCAAAUCACACACAGAGAGUGCAUGCAGUGAUUUAUUAGUCUAUUAAAAUUCAAAAUUCAAGGCAUUCUAAAUUGUACAUGGCAAAAUGCUUCUGUAUGCUUUUUAUUUUUAUAAAAUAAAAAUAUAGUUAACAAUCUAUAUCACACAAUGAG